GAUGAACGCUGGCGGCGUGCCUAAUACAUGCCAGUCGAGCGAACAGAUGAGGAGCUUGCUCCUCUGACGUUAGCGGCGGAUGGGUGAGUAACACGUGGAUAACCUACCUAUAAGACUGGGCUAACUUCGGGAAACCGGAGCUAAUACCGGAUAAUAUAUUGAACCGCAUGGUUCAAUAGUGAAAGACGGUUUUGCUGUCACUUAUAGAUGGAUCCGCGCCGCAUUAGCUAGUUGGUAAGGUAACGGCUUACCAAGGCAACGAUGCGUAGCCGACCUGAGAGGGUGAUCGGCCACACUGGAACUGAGACACGGUCCAGACUCCUACGGGAGGCAGCAGUAGGGAAUCUUCCGCAAUGGGCGAAAGCCUGACGGAGCAACGCCGCGUGAGUGAUGAAGGUCUUCGGAUCGUAAAACUCUGUUAUUAGGGAAGAACAAAUGUGUAAGUAACUAUGCACGUCUUGACGGUACCUAAUCAGAAAGCCACGGCUAACUACGUG
rnacentral:rRNA from 1 species